rnacentral:misc_RNA from 1 species
UAUAAGCAAAUCCAACGUCUGGAAACAAGCCAAUUCCAUUUUCUGGCAUGGCAAGAAGAGUUUUCUCUGUCACAACCCGGUAGCGGGCAUGGCCAGAAAGUCCAAUCCCAAAACCCAUAGUCACCCCAUCCAUAAAGCAAAUAUAAGGCUUAGGAUAUCUGAAUAUCUUACAUAUCAGUGAAUAUUCCGCAGCAAAAACCUUUGGCACAA